rnacentral:lncRNA from 1 species
AAGUUAGUUACUCAACUACUUAGUAGAGUUAUUGUCAUAACAAUUUGGGAACAAGGGAAUCGUGGUGCCUUGGUGCAACGAAUUGAAAAUUUUGUGCCUUCCUAGUGUAGGUGGAUUUUGGUUGCAUUGUGGAUGGAAUUCGACCCAAGAAGAUACAUUUGCUGGCGUUCCAUUUCUAAUAUUCCCGAUUGCCGGUGAUCAAGUUACUAACAGUAAACAAAACAGAAAUGCUUGGAGGAUUGGAAGAUUGGGUGGAGGAUCAAUAAGGAAAGGGAGAAGCUGGUUACGAGAGAUGAAAUUGCUAUGCUUUUGCAGAGUUUUAUGGACCUUGACAACUACCACAAAACAGAAAUGAGGAAAAAAGCAACGGAAAUAAGGAAGAUCUGUCAAGAAGCAGUUGAAGGCGGAGCCAUUCAAGGAAAUAUUUGCAAGUGUAAUUGGGAUCUUUCUCACAGCCUAAGACAAUAAUGUUUGGUUUAUAAAAAAGUUAUGCACAAAAAGUAAUGUAUGAACUAAAUAAUUUAAAAAUUAUUCCUGUAAUAUGUUUCACCUGUGAAAUCGUAUCCAGCUUUUUCUUUCCCGUAAACUUUUAAGCAUGUAAUAUUGUCCAAACUUCUGCAGUACUACUUUUUGUUGAAUGAAUAAAUAAAUAAAUGGAAAGAAUACCCAAUCAAACAAAAAUGUACCAAGGCAAUAAAAUAAAAUAGUCAAAAUCAAAGAGAAGAAGGAUCCAAAUUGUGUAGAAGAUAGUGAUAGAUUACUCAGAAGCUUAGAAGUCGACCAACGAAACAUAGGAAUAUCAGGAAAAAGCAUAGCAAAAGGCAAGGAGAAUGAAAGCACACAAUUAGAUACUACUACAAUUUAAAGUGGCCACUUGGGUGGUGUCAUGGUUGAAGGGCAUUAGAAAUACGCAUAAUUAUAUGUAUUGUAGCUGAAUCUUUGAGUAGAGAGAAAAUGAACAUUGCUGAAGAGGAAUUUUAUCAAGCAUCUACAGGACAAAGGGUAAGGAUAUUAGAAUAUAGAGAGGAACUGGAGAAUGAAUAACAACCAGAGAAAUGGUACGGAGGAACAUAUUUCAUUUUUCUCAAUGUUUGAUUAGACUAAACUUUUGUAGUAAUAAGUUUUUAUAAGUAUUUGAGAUCAUUCCAACCUCGUGACCCCAAGGCCCAACUCCCCAUCUCCUCCCACACCAUAAUGUGUUACUAGGUUAAUUACCACAUGAGCAUCUUAAAAGUUGAGGAUCAAUUUUUUCUUGUCAAAAUUCUUUCAAUGCCAGAAAUUACGACUUCAAAUAUGUUAAUUUUUUCAUGUUUUAUUGGUUAAAAACUGACUUUCUAAUAUGAAUAGGAAAGACAAGUUUUAAAAGUAGCAUUCCACUCUAAUUGUGUUUGUCUAGUCUUCAACACACCUCAUGUUUGCUCUCAUCCUCCAUAUCUCCCUCUCUCUAUCCCAGCAUUCCUACUCCAACACUCUACCCCAUCUCUCAUAGUUUUUUAAGUAUUUUAUGUAGAAUAUAUAAAAAUAUUAUUAAAUACUAGUAAUAUUUUUAUUUAUGUAUGACUAUGAGUUUAAAAAAAUAAAAAAUAAAAAAGAAAUUUGUUUUCUAGAGGACAUUUUCUGAGAGAACCUUUUCCUUCUCUCUACGGCACAUUUCUGAUCAAAUUUUAUCAGUCCUAAAACCCCAGUUUUCGUUUCUCCGAUUCAUAAAGCAAAAGAAUCAAAAGAAAUGGAAAUUGCCCACGUCGAUCAAGCCAAAUAUUAUUGCCACAUAUUGGCAAUUCCCUAUCCAGGUAGAGGCCACAUCAAUCCGUUGAUGAAUUUUUGCAAGCUCCUUGCUACAACCACACCAAAACUUCAGCUAGUAAUCUCUUUUAUUGUAACCAAAGAAUGGUUCAGCUUUUUGAAAUCAGAGCCAAAACCAGAUAAUAUCCAAUUUCAUACAAUCCCAAAUGUAAUUCCACCAGAAAAGGAUCGAAGCGAAUUAGAUUUGUUGAGAUUCGUGGAAGCUGUGUUUACUAAGAUGGAAGCUCCAGUUGAGAGUUUACUUGAUGGGCUACCAAAGCUCAAUGUGAUUAUAGCUGAUACAUUAUUGCCGUGGGCCGUCCGUAUUGGGGAUCGGAGGAAUAUUCCGGUGGCUUCAUUUUGGACCAUGUCUAUUACCGCUUUCUCCAUUUUUUAUCACCAUAAAUUGCUACUAGCUGAUGCACAUUUUCAAGCCAAUUUUACAGGUACUUGUUUCUUUUUUCCCCAAAAUUUUGCACUCAGAGAUUAAAUCAUGUCAAGUAACCUUACCCGUUUGCGACAACAACAAUAACGUAUUCAGAUAUGGAUAUAUUAUGUCUAGAGUGGAUCUGGAGAGAUAAGCUUGUGAGUUGAUCUUAUGAUUUGAUGCGAGAUAUGGUUAGAAACAUAUUUCCGAUCAAAGCAUCGCAAAACUAAGAUUAUGAAUUUAUUAAGGAGGUGUUUGCCUAGUUUGACUUCCAUUUCAAAAAGUAAGACAUAGUUUGUUCUGACACGAAAUUUAAGAAAAUAAAAAAGACUUUUUAAUGUUAUGGUAUUAAAUUAAAGAUAUAUUAAAUGCAUCAAAAUUUAUUCGAUCUUGUGGUUCUAAAUAUGCACAUGAAAAGUUAAAACUAAAAAGUUGUUAAAAAAAAAAAUGAAAGGGGACAUUUUUCUUAAAUGGAUUAAAAGGAAAUGGAGGAAGUAAUGUAUUAUUUAUAAUAUUUUGAUAUACGUUUUUACUUUUUUUUGGAAUACUUAUUUGGCUAUAAAUAUUUUUGAAUUUACUUUUUGUAGUUUUUUUUAAUUUUUUUAAACAAUUUAAUUUAAACAUGAAAUUUAGGAAUCCUUUCAAGAUUGUUGUCUAGGAAAAACCGUGAUAAUAGCUUUUAAGAGCAUGGUUGAAUUGACUUAUCUUAGUAUAUUUAAGCUAAAUACAAUUUUUAAGCACUUUUAUAAUAUUUGAGUAAAACAACAAAGCUUUUAAGUCAAAAAAAAGACAAAAUAAACUAUACGGGCUAGUUUGGUAGAGUGUAUAAGAUAAUACUAAAUGGGUUGUAUUAGUAAUGCUGGGAUUAAUAGUGCAGGGAUUAGUAAUAUGGAGAUUAUUUUUUAUGCAGUGUUUGAUUUGAUGUAUUGAAAACAAUAUGAAUUGUUAUGUUUUAAAAAGAAUAUUGUUUGUUUAUAAAAAUACCCUUGUCAUAUUAUAACUUUGUGUAUUUUCUUUGCAAAACUUUAUUGUUCUUUUUUAAAAGAAAAAAAAUAAAAAUAUAACUAAUUAUUUACUUUGGAAUUUUAAGAUUCAAUCAUUCAUUUACAAAAAUUUUUUUGUUAUCUUUUCUUUAUUUGUUCAUCAUUUAUUUGUUGUUUCCACUCUGUGAUGUUCUUACGUUGAGGGAGAUACGUGUAACUUUUGAAUGAGACAAUAGAAUUAUUAUUAACAUAAAUUUGUGUUCCGUAAAGUGUUAAAGAUAAUUAGAAAAAAUAUUUUAUUUAUGAAUAUCCUAUUUACAAAAUUAAAGUUUGUAUGCAAUCAUGCAAUUUAUUUUUGGAUUUUGACCAUUAAGUAUUUUUUAAGUUAAUGGAAUAGUUUUUUAUGACUAAAAUUAUUUGGAGGGAUAUUAUUAUCUUGAUAAAUUGAAAAGAAAUAAUUCACAUUGAAUAAAUUGAAAAGAUUUAGAAAAAGAAUUAAAGAAAUUUGAGGGUGUUUUUGUCUUGACACAUAUUUAUCCAUGGAUUACUAAUCCCAUCAAAUUGGAUGUAUUAGUUAUACACUCUAUAAUACCAUGUAUGAUGUAUAACUAAUUCAUGUAUUAGUUAUACAUAACUUCAAAAUUGCUGCCAAACAAUGUAUUAAGUAAUCCCAUCAUUUAAUCCAUGGAUUAUGAAAAUAAUCUACCCUACCAAACGGGUCCUAAAAGUCAUAAGAUAGAAUUUCAAACCCAUGGCUUUUGCUUAAAAGCCAAAGCUAUAAGUCCAUACUCCCUUUACUUUUAAGUAGAAUUUUUAAGCCAUAAGUGAUGUGAAAUUCUUCACAAAAUUGCUACAAGUAGUAGGAGUAUAUCAUUUGCUUCCAUUAAAUUUCAUGAAAUUCGUUUAUUUUCGUUGUUAGUAGAUACAUUCAUCCUUGUUUGCUGUCUACCUAACUAACUACAAUGUUGGCAAAUGGCAACAGGAAACGUAAUAUAAGUUGAGUUUCUCAGUAGGUGUUUAGACCUGAAUUUAGUGAUAUCUUCUUAAAUUAAAGUUGAAAAAUGAUAUUUGGAAAUUGAACAUGCAUUUUACAUGAAAAAAGAAAAACUUAAAACUCUUUUUAGGGGGUAAAAUUCCCCUUGAAAAACUCAUCUGCAAGAACUAACUAAAAAUCCUUCUAACAUAUAAUCAAACAAUGUUUGAAAAUAUUUUUUGGAAGAAAAAAUAACUUACAUCAAAUCGGGCAAUUAAUUUCAUGAUGAACAGAGCAAGGAGAAGAGGUUGUAAAUCACAUUCCUGGGGUUAAACCAAUUUGCGUGAAGGAUCUUCCAUCCGCAUUUAACAUCAAACGCCGGAAGAUGUUGCCCUUUCUUCUCGAAGCUGUAUCGGAAUCGGUCAAUAAAGCACAAUAUGCCUUGUUCACCACCAUUGAAGCAUUGGAAUCUCAAGUAAUUGAGGCUUUACGAGCUAAAUUUCCAGUUCCCAUUUUCACAGUUGGUCCAACAAUCCCUUACUUCGAUACUGAAUUCAAAACUAACCAGCCUAGUUCAAACUACUUGUCAUGGCUUGAUGAUCAACCUAAGGACUCUGUUCUAUACAUAUCCCAAGGAAGUUUCAUGUCAGUAUCUAAAGAACAGUUGGAUGAAAUUAUAGCGGGCGUGCACAGCAGCGGUGUCCGAUCAUUUUGGGUGGCGCGUGAGGAUACUUCCUUACUUACAGAUGCAGUAGGGAACAAGGGAAUCGUUGUGCCUUGGUGCGACCAAUUGAAAGUUCUGUGCCAUCCUAGUGUAGGCGGGUUUUGGUCGCAUUGCGGAUGGAAUUCGAUCAAGGAAGGUGCAUAUGCUGGCAUUCCUUUUCUUACAUUCCCUAUUGGCGCUGAUCAAUUUACCAACAGUAAACAAAUAGUGGAGGACUGGAAGAUUGGUUGGAGGAUCAAUAAGGAAAGGGAGAAGCUGGUUAAAAGAGAUGAAAUUGCUAUGCUUUUGCAGAGUUUUAUGGACCUUGACAACUACCAU